GGGCAGCACCCCCUUUUUGCUGCCUUUCCAGGGACAGCAGCAAGAGAAAGAAAGAGAGAGGCAAGCGAAAUUCCUGAAUGGAUAGACAGAUGCUACGUCAUCGGAGCUGCAUCCUCCACUCCACAAGAGGCUAGGAGCUGGGGGGAGAGAGGCAGUCCAGCCGCAGGGGCCACCCGAACAGUCUCUCCUCCUCACAGAAGCCUGGAGCUGGGCAUCCAAGAAGAAGCAGCCUCAUUUGUUUUCUGGUGUCAUCGUAGGUGGCCACCUAUGGCUUUUGGGCUUCUCACCUGGGGCGGGUGGGUUCUGCACCACCCUCCCACCCUCCUUCCUCCGUGUGGACGAUAGAGCCACAUCCAGCACCACGGACAGCUCCCGGGCGACCAAAAAGAAGAAUGUACUUCAUCUGGUUGGGCUGGAUUCCCUCUGAUAAGCCUUCCCAGUUGACUGAAAGAUGAGGCUAGGCUCUAGCAAGUUGAAGUCAAACCAGCUCCUUCAAGAAGCUUUGAGCAGAAUGAAGUGGGGAGGACCCAGCUUCCAGCCUAGGAAGCCCACUGUACCUGGAGCCAUCUGGGAUAAGACUUUGACCCAUGACUCCCAUAUCCACAACCUGUCCAUCCUAGCCCAUCCCAGUUUAUCCUGUAUCAUUUGAGCUGGGAUUCCCACAUCCUCUGAGAUGGAAGUCCCAUCUCAAAUCUUCAAUAAAGACUCUUGAAUAUUGAGUCACA
rnacentral:sRNA from 1 species